CUUUGGGGACAGACCAUUUUUUCUCACCUAACAAGCUACUGAGGUUCAAAAGACGAUCUAUUAGGAUUAAUCGUACUUGAUCACUAAUCCAUUGUAAUGCCAUAUGCUGAAAGCGUUGUUCACUGUUAAGCCUGGAGCCAGGUAGAGCCCCUCUGGUAAUGUAAACCCUCCCAUUUUCCUGCAGCUAAUCUAAUUUCACCUCCUCCCAGACCUCGCAUGCCAGGAAUGAUGCUGAACUCUUCCUACACUGCCUCUGAUGCAUUUUUGAAUGGUAGCAAAUCUGAUCUCAAAGGAGAGAAUUGACCCUGGCCUGAUGAAGAAAAUGGGAAUCAGUCCUUUGGAAGGAUCAGGAAGCAGCUGAUUGGGCAGGGUAGCAAUCUUUCUGCAUUGAAGUCUCCAUUUUCCUUGGGACAUGGUGGGGCCAGCAAGAGGGUAGAGGAUUAUUCCCAGGUGCGUGACUCUCCAGAGCAGCGAGAGGAUCAGAGUGGCCUCCUCCUUCUUACUUGUGACAGACAGGGAGCCACACUUCGGAGGGCAUCGACUGCUUCUCCCCAUCAGCCAGCUGUGAAGAGGAGUCGCUCCAGGAACAGCGCCACCCUCCCUCGUUUGCUUUUCUUCCUCUAUUUUUCCUGACAUGUUCACUGAACUACAGACUGCAUAUGUUUAAAAAUAAUUAAACGCGCUCCAAACAAAUAGGCAAUGUUUCCACGAUCCCUGCAAUGAACGUUCUGCGUGUUUUGACAGAUUUUUCUGUUCGUUGGAUUCAUCAAGCAGCCUGGCUCUUUGCUGUCAUUCCCGACAACCUUGCAUAUAAACCCCCAGGGCAAACUCUCUGGCCUGAGCUCCUUCCUGGGCUCUGAUCUUGGGCAUAGAGAACUUCCAGCCUGAGAGUCCCCAGACCUUCAGGGGAAUCCAUGUCUGGGCUCCCACGACAAUGUGGUUCACAAAUGGAGCCAUUAGACAAAAGGGAGACUAGCUAAAUAAAUGUGGGGUUCUGUUUUGAAUGGCGCUGCUAUAUUGCACUAAGAAAAGAGACUAGAAGAAAAUCCUAUGAGAAAGCUGAAAGAUUACCGGGGCGCAUUAGGACCAUUCUCACCCCUCCCCCCUGGCAAAUCCUGACCUUCCACAUCCCUGCAUGUCACCCCCCAUUCUUAUUUUUUUUUAAUUAAAAUCUCUCUACUAAAAGAUGAAGAUAAAGGAGAAGAUGUAGUUUAUAAAGCUACAUAAAAUACAACAUAACCAAAUAAAUGAAAAUAUGUAUAAAGAAAGCUAAUUAAUGAGAAAAUACUGUAAAAAGGUAAGAAAGAGACUUGGUGAAUUUAGGGCAUGACAAAGAUGCUAAAAUUAAGAGAAGCCUAAUUGUUUCCCCAACAGAGACAAAGGUCUUCCUUAUACAAAAGAUACAUGGGCUAGCAUCAACAAUGUCCUCUUCAGUAUUCAUUCAGGAACAAACUGAUAGAUAAGUGAGCGUGUCUUUCUCUCUCAACAUAGGCUUACCACAUCUUGCAAAAGUGUCACUACUCUGGAGGAGUUCAGAGGAAUAAGGAGUGUAUGGAUGUGUAUGUCCAAGUUAUCACAAAGGAGGAGGGUGAGAGAGGAAGCAGGGGAGUAAUCAAUACGGUUUGAUUCUGAACACAGCUCUAAUGGUCUGGCUUAAUCCAGGGACAGCUUUGAGCAACCAUAGCAAUGGAUAUUCUUUAAAUCCUUAGGAAAUAUGCUCAACUGUGAUUUAAAUCAAUAUUGACAGCAAUUAAUGUGCAGAGACAUUUAUUUGCCCAUUGACUGCUCUAACAGUUGGUGGUGUCCAAGGAAGUCUUAAUAUCACGUGAAUAUUAAAGAGCCAAGAAGAACCUGCAGGAAGGUUCAAGUUUCUCCUCAAAGAGGGAUAUUUUAGUAUGCUAAAACUGUUUAUCAAAGUACUCAAUUCUACACCAGGAACUGGCAAACCACAGCCUGUGGGUCAAAUCAAGCCUGCACUAGUUUUUAUGUGGCCUGUGAACCAUAGUCUGGGCCUUGUUUUUAAUGGCUGAAAAAAAAUUGAAAGAAGAAUAAUAUUUUUAAUGUGACAAUUACUUGAAAUUCAAUUUCAGGAUUCAUAAACGAGGUUUUAUUGGAACCCAGCCAGGCCAGUUCAUUUACAUAUUGUCCAUGGCCGUUCUUGUACUACAAUGGCAGAGAGGGAACAGAGACUUUAUGGCCUGCAAAGUUGAAAAUAUUUACAAUGUGGCCCUUUGCUGAGUUUGCUGACCUUUUUGUUCUAUACCAUGACUUACAAUGUUGUUAAUACUUUUUCUGAUUUCUAAACUUAAAAACAAGCUCCAAAUUUUUCAAGUUUUCUAGAUGGCUAUUUGAUAAUAUGUACCAAAUAACAUAAAGCUUAUUUGCCUUUUGAGUCAGAAAGUCCACUUCUAAGGAACUUAUCCAAUACUGUAAAGUGGGAAACAGCAUAGAUACCCAACAACAUAGCUAAUAAUUACAUAAAUUACAAUACAGCUAUACAGUGAAAUGCUCUACUCUAUAAAAGAAUGAUGAGCUAGAUGUUACCAGGACAAAAAUAAAUUAGUUAAAGCACUUUGGGAGGCCAAGGUGGGCGGAUCACUUGAGGUCAGGAGUUUGAGACCAGCCUGGUCAAUGUGGCAAAA